AUGGAAACAGACGCGUGCGACAAAGGAAUUGGCACAGUACUGCAACAAGAUGGCCACCCCAUAGCAUUCUUGAGGAAAAGUCUGAGCCCCCGGUACCAAGGACUCUCCAUGUACAAGAAGGAGUACCUUGCAAUAGUUGUCGUCGUGGAUCAAUGGCGGCCUUACCUUCAGCACAGCGAGUUCAUCAUCUUCACGGACCAGAAAAUCUUGAUACAUUUGGAGGAGCAGAGACUCUCGACACCCUGGCAGCAGCGCGCAUUCAACAAACUCUUGGGCCUUCGAUACACCAUCCGCUACAAGAAAGGCACGGAGAACACGACUACAGACGCAUUAUCCCAAGCUAGAUUGCCGGAGCUGUUUUAUAACUGCAACCCUCAAGCGCAGAAGCUACUAGAGCAAUUAGCGGUGAAGGAAGACCCCAAAGGUCGCUUCUCCCUGCAGAACAGGAUCCUGCGAUUCCGCGGUCGCAUUUGGCUGGGUGGGUCAAUAGAGCUUCAACAAAGAAUCAUGGCAGCUUUCCAUGACAGCUCACUUGGCGGGCACUCGGAGUUCCCAGCAACCUUUUGGCUCAUUCAUCGCCUCUUCGCAUGGCCAAAAAUGAAGACACAUGUCCUACGAUAUGUCUGUUGUUGCCCAACUUGUCAGCAGGCUAAAACAGAUAGAUCUGCGUCACCGGGAUUGCUUCAGCCGCUGCCCAUUCCACAACAACCUAGGGAGAUGAUCACUAUGAACUUCAUCGAAGGCCUGCCAAAAUCUGGUAAAUUCAACUGUCUCUGGGUUAUCGUGGACAAGCGCACCAAAUUUGCCCAUUUCCUUCCAUUGGCACACCCAUACAUGGCAGCAAAGGUGGCCCUCCUCUACAUGAACAACGUGCACAAAAUCAAUGGCUCCUCCCAUCAUUCGAGCAUUGGGAUGUCACCUUUCAAGGCGAUGUUUGGGCAUGAACCCCGACACUUGGGGAUCACUCCCUCUACUGAGUGCAUGGUGUUGGUGCUCCACUCUUGGCUGGACGAGCGUGCCAUGGUGCAGGACCCGCUCCAACAACAUCUGAACAAAGCGCAGCAGCACAUGAAGGCCCAAGCUGACAAGCGGCGAUCACCUCGUACUUUUCAAAUGGGCGAUGCAGUUUACCUCAAGCUCCAACCAUACAUUCAAACUUCCAUCGCACGGCAAGCCAACCACAAGCUGGCAUUCAAGUACUAUGGACCAUAUCAGGUCAUCGCCAAGAUCAAUGACGCCGCGUACAAGCUGGAACUCCCUCCACACUCGCAAGUUCACCUGGUCUUCCAUGUGUCCCAGCUGCGCCACUGUCUUCGACCGAGUACGCCCCCAACCCUGUCCUGCCAUGCCAUACUGAUACACAUGUCGUGCCAGUCGCAGUCCUCCAGCACCCUGAGGCUUGAGGCAAGCCUCAUCACAAGGAGGAGGCAUGUCAGCGACCCCAACUCUGCAAGCCCCAACCAGGCACCUGACAUGAAGGACCCAGCUGGCAGCGACCCCGUCGCUGCCCAACGGCCCACCAGAGCUAAGAAGCCCAACUCCCUCAUCACUGGGCCACAGUGGGCAAGAUGA
rnacentral:rRNA from 1 species